AGAAUCAACGCUGGCGGCGUGCCUAACACGUGCAAGUCGAACGAGAAAGUGGGAGCAAUCCCAUGAGUAAAGUGGCGCACGGGUGAGUAACACGUGACUAACCUACCCUUGAGUGGGGGAUAACCUAGGGAAACCUGGGCUAAUACCGCAUAAUACCUACGGGUCAAAGGAGCAAUUCGCUUUAGGAGGGGUCGCGGCAGAUUAGUUAGUUGGCGGGGUAAUGGCCCACCAAGACAGUGAUCUGUA
rnacentral:rRNA from 1 species